AUUCGAGAAAAGCAAUUGGUUAUACCAUAACACAGCAAAUAAACUUGGAAAGAGAAUGAAGACCAUUUAGCAUUCAAUGAAAUACAUUCAAUCAGUAAUUUCAGCGAGUUCCCCUGCUUUCUAGUGGCUUUGCAUCAUUCUUGUACAUCCAGAAAGCCAAUUCAUUGUUUUUGUUACUGAAGUGUGCUUCACAACUAUUACACACCAAGUAAAAAUAUAUUCAAAUUCACCUUUACAUUUAUCAACAAAAACAUACGAAAUAGGCCAUGGGGAUCAUCGCAUUUCUCAACAGAAGGAUUAUAAAAACCAAUAUGAAAUGGAAAUCCUCAAAACUGUACGGCCGCAUCAGAAGAAGUCAUGAUUCUAGCAUCUUCAGAUUAACAAAGGAAAUGGAUGGUCAUCAAUCAGAGACAUACUAUAGAUAAAAAUUAUAUAAUUAAAAAAUAUUUUAAAAUUAUAUUAUUAUACAUUACUAAUCAACUUUAAAAUUUAAAUAAUAAUUCAGAUAUAAUUUUCUACAAUAAUAUUUAUAUACAAUUAUUUUAAUAAUUAAAAACGAAAUAUUGAAGAAUUAAACUAAAAUAAAAAAAUUGAAAAAGAAUUAAUGAAUUCUUAAGUAAACUCCGAAUUGAAAUUGAACUGUACACUCUCAAUAGUAAAGAGAAAGAAAUAAUCACAAUCUUUACUAGAAAGUAGAAGAGGCUUGGCAUUGGAUAUCAAAUUAAUGUCAAAAUUUUGAACGAGGCGAACAAAACCAAGUAAAAUAAAAGAGAUAAGGAGAUGAUGUGAUGAAGAAUUUUGCAAGAGAAUUGGAUUCAUAGAGUGAGAAAUAGUAGACACCUUAAACCCUCGAUUAUUCUUUGGGGUUUUUGCUUAUUGUCUGUUUCUAUUUAGUAUCACCCGAUUGGUAUUUUCCUUGGGCCCAAUCGCAGUCCAGUUAAGAAAAUUGGAUCAAUUCAAUCAAGAAUUAGAACUAAUCAAAAUCACUUUAAUAAAAAUAUCUAUCUUAGAUAGUAAUCAAACUCAAACUAGUUCGGUUCAAGUUAUUUUCUUCUCAAGAAAUAAAAAAAAAAAAAAAUUAUUAAAUUUGAUUAAAAUCAAAAUCGAACCUAAAUCAAAAUUAAAACUAAGGAGACUCUGAUUUUACUCUUCAUGAAUAUUAAAUCAAAACCAUCUAUUUCGAUUGAGAACUAACUCAAACCGACCCGAUAGCCACCUUAAUUGCCCUGUCCCUACUACUAAGAGAACAAUAAUUUUUAUAAUUUAAAUCAUAAUCUCUGUACCAUGAGUCCAAUACUCAAUUAUUAAAUUAUUAACAAUAUAUAAAUAAGUUUUUUUUAUAAAAAUGUUUCCCACAUCUUAGUUUUCCUAGUUUUAGUAGAAAUGAGAAUAGCGUAACUCUUAAUUUCUACACUCACUCAUGACAUUUUCUUUUGUGAAAUGUACAAGGCAGAACUAGUUUGGAGAGUCCAAUCACAAUUUCAUUAACACCGUGAAUCUAUUUAUUUAAAUUUAAUUGUUAUGAGUGUGAGAAAGAGAAGGCAAAGGAGGAAAUCAUAGCAAUUACCAAGAAGAAAUUCAAGCAGUAAAGAUCAAGAAAUCAUGCUCGCAGAACGCCCGGUUUAACCUCAAAAAGCCUAGAGCCAUUUCGGCCCCGUAAGCCUUGCUUCUCGACAACUUGAACCGGUCCUUCCGUAGACUUUGACACAUCUUCACUUCAAUUUGGUCAAAAUAAUCCCAGUCCUCUUUUUCUAUGAUAAUGGAUCCAGACACCAUGUGUAUAAAACUAGCGAAUAUCACUCCACAGAGACAAAAAGUUGCCUUGGUAAGGGGUGCUGGAGAAUGUGAAGUCUAACAAAAAUUCCUUUCAAAAGAUGUUGAAAAGAGAAGCUGCUUGCCGACUGCAUGAUGAGGUAAUAUGUUUGGGGUUCAACCUCCUGCAUCCUCCUCCAUCCUCUCUCAAUAAAAAAUAAAUAAAUAAAGGGAAGCUUUUCAAGAUUUUGCAUACUGAAACUGCCAAGAUUUGUUCCUGAAUAGGUGAAUCCUUGGAUUUACUCUUCUUUUUCUUCAGAGAGCUUUUGUGGCAGGUUUGAAACAAUCAAUAUUGCAUAAUCCGACUGAUCUUAUCAUGCCUCCAAAGCGAUCAAUGCUGUUCCUUGCUUUCUCAGGCUGAUCUGAUACAUGAUUCUCUUUCUCAGGGCGGUCCACACUCUUUCUUGAUUUCUCUCUCCUAUCAGUGCUGGUUCUUGAUUUCUCUCUACAGUCUGUGCUUAUCCUGGGCUUUUCUCUUUGCUCAAUAAUCUGUCUAAAAUUCCCUUUUUGGUCCAUGUUUGGUCCACAGGUCUCUCUACAAUCCGUGCUUUUCCGGGGAUUCUCCAAUUGAUCUGUGACUGGCCCAGUUCCAUUUCUAAGAUUUGGUGAUCUCUCAAUGGCUGAUACGAACUUCUUGAGGUGUUUGAUGUAUUGUGGGUAUAGCUCCAAGUCACAAUGAUUUCCUCCCUUCACCCAUAAUGGUUCAUAUUUCUCUUUACAAAGAUCCCAAAGCUGCUUACCAUGGGACCAAUCUACAACAUCAUCAGCAGUUCCAUGGAUUACCAAUACUGGACAAUUGACCAUUGGUAUUUUAUCAACGUUCUUAUAUAUAUCAAACCAAUAUGUUCGCUUCACAGGAUACAUGACACGAAGGCCAGACAGGAUAGGACUGUGAAGAAUCACAGCUCUUAAUUGUGGCAAACGAGUAGCCAAUUCAAGAGCAGGUCCACUCCCUACUGACUGACCAUACAAUAUGGUGUCUUCCUCCUUCACUCCAUAAGUCUCUUCUAGACAUUUAUAAGCAGCCUCUAUAUCAGCAUAUGUGUCUUGUUCACUUGGCUAAUUGGGUACCAAUGCAUCAAACAGAAUCAGUAGUCCUUUUAUUUAUCUUAUAAUUCACAUAAUAAAACAUAUAUUUUACCAACAACAUAGCAAACGAGUAUCAGAUUGUUCUGCAGUAAUGAACUUGAGUUUUUCUUUUCUUUUGUUUUCCCCUAAAAUAAAUUGCCGGAUAAUCAUUGAUUAAAUUAUCUCUAUCAUGUACUCGAAAGCUCAAACUUUGCUCCUAAGUUCUUGAUUUCUGCAAAGCAAAUAUCUCUGGCUUGCAACUUCUUGUUUUGAUACAUUACUUGAGCAGGCCCUGCCAAUCUAUAAUUUGAUCUUUCUUGACUAUAAUUCAAGAAAGAACUAUUUUUGAAAGAAAAAUAGCUUCUGUAAGCCAUAAAGCCGUCCCUGUCCCUCCUAUCUCAACUCUCAGGUCAGUCUGCCAAAUGUGCUUAAGCAAGUGCUUUAACAUUAAAUUCCUAUCAUGCAGGCCUAGAAUUUUAAUGGUAACAAGUCCAAAUUAAGUCCAACUCUCAACCCUCCUUUGACUGCAUACUACAGUUAGCCCAUGAGCUAAACAAGUUUAUUUUUUUCAUUUGGUUUUGAUUAGACUUGAAACUCAAUAAUUUAUAAACUAGAGACGACUCAAUACGAAGCUUAUUGGUUGGGAAUCAAAUUAAUUGAUGAGAAACAAUAACUUGCCAACUCAAUUUUGUCACUACUUCACCAGAAAUUAGGUUGAGCUUUUUGUGGUCAGAAAAAACAAACAGAAUAUACCUUUCCAGAAGAGUGUCCAUACCCAGAAUAAUCGUACCCCAUAAGAUUAACAUUAAGGUGCAGGCUAAGCUCAGAGAAGAUAUGAUACAUCUGGCCAAGAUCAGCAGCGUUGCCAUGAGAGUAUAGGACAGUCAAUGAAGCUAAUGGGUUCUUCACGUAUAUGGCAACAAUCUCAUUCCCUUUCUUUGUGGAAAGCUUCAACACGUCCACGUCGUCUUUCUGUUGGACAUCUGAGAUUCUCAGUUUCCCAGUUUCUUCAUCAACUACUAUGUUAUAAGACGGUGGGUUAGGUGGGAAGAAGGCGAAUUUCGCCGCCAUUGACGAUGUUGUUGUUCCCAUAAUUAACCCCAAAACAAUGGUAGAACUAGGUGGUGAUUUUUAUAUUCUAUUUGAGAACGGAUAUGAGAAGACGGAAGUGCAUGGUCAAGUUCCAGUAUAUUUUGUUUUGAACUUUGAAAAGAGGUGGAGCGGCAGAGAGAGAGGAUUUCGUAAUUAUGAUGAAUGAGAGAAAUAGAACUAUGUCAAUGGGAUUUCUAGAUAAUGGGUUUUGGUGGGUUGUUGUUUGUUUCUUGAGAAAAUGGAAGGAACUAUGGUUUUCUUGCGUUCAGAAAGAGAGAGGGAAUGAAAGGAACAAGAUUAGGGAGGAG
rnacentral:misc_RNA from 1 species